GGCGGGGUGCCGGAGCGGUCGAACGGGGCGGUCUUGAAAACCGUUGAGCCCACGGGCUCCGUGAGUUCGAAUCUCACCCCCGCCG
rnacentral:tRNA from 1 species